CCCUGCUCUGGAGCUCUAGCACCUUGGCAUGCCUGCUCUCCACGGACUUCGUGUGGAAGAGUGCUCAGGGUCUUCCCGUGCUCCUUUUGCAGCCUUUCACAACAAGGACUGAUUCCAGCAGGUCUGAUGAGGCAUGGUCCUGGCCAAGAAGAAGAUGACAGCAGAUGCCACAAGAAGGAAUCCUGCCACAGAAGCAAUUGCAAUACCCACAACCAGCGGCUCGGAGACAUAUUCUUCACAGUGCUCCCCUCUGUACCACCAGUUCUCCCCCACACGACACCUGCGACAAAGAAAUGGGGAAAUUGAACACCAGCAAAAGCUUUGCUUAAUGUAAAUGUAUUUAACUUCCUGGGAUGACAUAUCCUCAGUUAACUCACCUCAAUAAAUACCUUUGCAUGUUCA